GGGCCAGUGGCGCAACGGAUAACGCGCUUGACUACAAAUCAGGAGAUUCCAGCUUCGAAUCCUGGCUGGUUUU